UACAGAGGGUGCAAGCGUUGUUCGGAAUUAUUGGGCGUAAAGCGCGUGUAGGCGGCCUUGCAAGUCGGGUGUGAAAGCCCUCAGCUCAACUGAGGAAGCGCGCCCGAAACUGCAGAGCUUGAGUACCGGAGAGGAUGGCGGAAUUCCCCAAGUAGAGGUGAAAUUCGUAGAUAUGGGGAGGAACACCGGUGGCGAAGGCGGCGACCUGGGCUGACACUGACGCUGAGGUUCGAAAGCGUGGGGAGCAAACAGG
rnacentral:rRNA from 1 species